GUGGGAUAUGGCAUGUGGAUUAACGUACACACAAGAACAAAUUGACGAAGUACGGGAUGAGUGGGCAACGAACGUGAGCAGCUAUAUGUCGAGCCUCGAGUUAAGGGUGAAUAUGUUAGAUGAAUGUACGUAUUUUGGGAGAACUAGAUUUUUUUGCACAUGCUUAGGUAGUAGCUUAAUUUUAUGGAUAGUUUGGUUUAUUUUGUGGAUGCAUGUAAUCAAAUUCACAAUUCAAUAUAGUAGUAAUUUAUAUUGAAAAGUUAAUUUGAGAUGCAUAUAUGGAUACAUUUUGGUAUAUAUUUCGUGGAUGUAGUAAUUUGAAACUGUAAACGAAUGGUAUUAUUGGGAUGUAUUUUGAAUGGUUGAUACAUUUUGGCUAUAUAUCAU
rnacentral:lncRNA from 1 species